UAGGUAGGUGGUCUCAUUUGUCUGGGGUGAAAGCCUUGAGCUUAACUCAAGAAGUGCCCCGGAAACGGUGAGACUGGAGUCCUGGAGAGGGUCGUGGAAUUCCCGGUGUAGCGGUGAAAUGCGUAGAGAUCGGGAGGAACACCAGAGGCGAAGGCGGCGACCUGGACAGGUACUGACACUCAACUACGAAAGCGUGGGGAGCAAACAGGAUUAGAUACCCUGGUAGUCCACGCUGUAAACGAUGGGUACUAGGUUUGGUGGGUCUUGACCCCCGCCGAACCGGCGCUAACGCAAUAAGUACCCCGCCUGGGAAGUACGGUCGCAAGACUAAAA
rnacentral:rRNA from 1 species